rnacentral:rRNA from 1 species
AUUGAACGCUGGCGGCAGGCCUAACACAUGCAAGUCGAGCGGAGCGGCGGACGGGGGUGUAAUGCCUAGGAAUCUGCCUGGUAGUGGGGGAUAACGUUCGGAAACGGGCCCUAAUACCGCAUUCUAUCCGUUUAGCCUAGGUCGGUUUAGCUAGUUGGUGGGGUUAAGGCCUACCAAGGCGACGAUCCGUAACUGGUCUGAGAGGAUGAUCAGUCGCCCUAGGACUGAGACACGGUCCAGACUCCUACGGGAGGCAGCAGUAGGGAAUAUUGGGCAGUGGGCGAGAGCCUGAUCCAGCCAUGCCGCGUGUGUGAAGGAGGUCUUCGGAUUGUAAAGCACUUUUAGUUGGGGGGCGUUACCAGCAGAAGAAGCACCGGCUAACUUCGUGCCAGCAGCCGCGGUAAUUC